rnacentral:lncRNA from 1 species
CCCUAGUGCCCGGGGUUGGGAGGAUAAUUUUUCAAACUUCAGGGGAGGUCAUUGUAAUUUUUCAAACGUCAGAGGUGCUUUAUGUACUAAAGGCAAGCCUCAGGAGAGGUCAGUGUAAUUCACCCUAAUACAUUCCCCCCACCCCCCACACACAAAAAAAAAGGAAAAAAACAUAUUGAACGAGUCAUUACCAAGUAAAAAAGCUUCCUACUUAUGUCCGACUUCAAAGGUAAAUAGGAUUAACACCAGAACUUCAUUCUUACUUUUUCUUUCUGUUAUCGCUUUUGAAGUGAAAUAACUUCUGCCAAUAAUAUAAACAAUGAAGUUGCUCCUCUCUCUAAUAGUUUAAGCUUUUAGAUGAAUUAUGUUAAACAAUUUAACAACAUCAAAACUACCCAGUAUUUGGUAACUGUAGAACUAGGAAGCCUUAGGAACUCCAGUCUUAUAUUUACACAACAUAUCAUACCCCAUUCUCGACGCCCCUUGGCAUUACCAGAUAAGGAAGUUUCCUCGGUGGUCCCUCCAAGAGCAAACAAACAACUCUACAUGGAAGGAUUAGCAUAAGAGUUUAACAUCUUUCCUCUUUUUCUUAUUCCCCACCCACCUUCCUUUUAUUUAAGAAUGAUUUUAGCUGAAAUGACUUAAUAUGGGAGGCUGCCUUAGAUUUAACU